GGAGUUAGCCGGUGCUUCUUCUGUGAGUGAUGUCCUUCCUGCCGGCUAUUAACCCGCAGGCCUUCUUCCUCACUGAAAGUGCUUUACAACCCGAAGGCCUUCUUCACACACGCGGCAUGGCUGGAUCAGGGUUGCCCCCAUUGUCCAAUAUUCCCCACUGCUGCCUCCCGUAGGAGUCUGGGCCGUGUCUCAGUCCCAGUGUGGCUGAUCAUCCUCUCAGACCAGCUACGGAUCGUCGCCUUGGUGAGCCGUUACCUCACCAACCAGCUAAUCCGACAUAGGCUCAUCCGAUAGCGCGAGGCCCGAAGGUCCCCCGCUUUCCCCCGUAGGGCGUAUGCGGUAUUAGCCUGGGUUUCCCCAGGUUAUCCCCCACUACCGGGCAGAUUCCUAUGCAUUACUCACCCGUCCGCCGCUCGCCACCAGGGAGCAAGCUACCCGUGCUGCCGCUCGACUUGCAUGUGUUAGGCCUGCCGCCAGCGUUCAAUCUGAGCCAUGAUCAAACUCUGA
rnacentral:rRNA from 1 species